rnacentral:ncRNA from 1 species
UAAUACUACUGGAUAGUGGACGUUACUCGCAGAAUAAGCACCGGCUAACUCUGUGCCAGCAGCCGCGGUAAUACAGAGGGUGCGAGCGUUAAUCGGAUUUACUGGGCGUAAAGCGUACGUAGGCGGCUUUUUAAGUCGGAUGUGAAAUCCCUGAGCUUAACUUAGGAAUUGCAUUCGAUACUGGGAAGCUAGAGUAUGGGAGAGGAUGGUAGAAUUCCAGGUGUAGCGGUGAAAUGCGUAGAGAUCUGGAGGAAUACCGAUGGCGAAGGCAGCCAUCUGGCCUAAUACUGACGCUGAGGUACGAAAGCAUGGGGAGCAAACAGGAUUAGAUACCCUGGUAGUCCAUGCCGUAAACGAUGUCUACUAGCCGUUGGGGCCUUUGAGGCUUUAGUGGCGCAGCUAACGCGAUAAGUAGACCGCCUGGGGAGUACGGUCGCAAGACUAAAACUCAAAUGAAUUGACGGGGGCCCGCACAAGCGGUGGAGCAUGUGGUUUAAUUCGAUGCAACGCGAAGAACCUUACCUGGUCUUGACAUAGUAAGAACUUUCCAGAGAUGGAUUGGUGCCUUCGGGAACUUACAUACAGGUGCUGCAUGGCUGUCGUCAGCUCGUGUCGUGAGAUGUUGGGUUAAGUCCCGCAACGAGCGCAACCCUUUUCCUUAUUUGCCAGCGGGUUAAGCCGGGAACUUUAAGGAUACUGCCAGUGACAAACUGGAGGAAGGCGGGGACGACGUCAAGUCAUCAUGGCCCUUACGGCCAGGGCUACACACGUGCUACAAUGGUCGGUACAAAGGGUUGCUACCUAGCGAUAGGAUGCUAAUCUCAAAAAGCCGAUCGUAGUCCGGAUUGGAGUCUGCAACUCGACUCCAUGAAGUCGGAAUCGCUAGUAAUCGCGGAUCAGAAUGCCGCGGUGAAUACGUUCCCGGGCCUUGUACACACCGCCCGUCACACCAUGGGAGUUUGUUGCACCAGAAGUAGGUAGUCUAACCGCAAGGAGGACGCUUACCACGGUGUGGCCGAUGACUGGGGUGAAGUCGUAACAAGGUAGCCGUAGGGGAACCUGCGGCUGGAUCACCUCCUUA